UACGGAAGGCAGCAGUGGGGAAUCUUGCGCAAUGGGCGAAAGCCUGACGCAGCCAUGCCGCGUGAAUGAUGAAGGUCUUAGGAUUGUAAAAUUCUUUCACCGGGGACGAUAAUGACGGUACCCGGAGAAGAAGCCCCGGCUAACUUCGUGCCAGCAGCCGCGGUAAUACGAAGGGGCUAGCGUUGCUCGGAAUUACUGGGCGUAAAGGGAGCGUAGGCGGACAUUUAAGUCAGGGGUGAAAUCCCGGGGCUCAACCUCGGAAUUGCCUUUUGAUACUGGGUGUCUUGAGUAUGAGAGAGGUGUGUGGAACUCCGAGUGUAGAGGUGAAAUUCGUAGAUAUUCGGAAGAACACCAGUGGCGAAGGCGACACACUGGCUCAUUACUGACGCUGAGGCUCGAAAGCGUGGGGAGCAAACAGGGAUUAGAUACC
rnacentral:rRNA from 1 species